CUAAGAAUCUUGCGCAAUGGGCGAAAGCCUGACGCAGCAAUUCCGCGUGGGGGACGAAGGCCCUCGGGUCGUAAACCCCUUUUGUGAGGGAAGAAGUUCUGACGGUACCUCACGAAUAAGACACGGCUAACUACGUGCCAGCAGCCGCGGUAAUACGUAGGUGUCGAGCGUUGUCCGGAUUUAUUGGGCGUAAAGAGCCCGCAGGCGGCUUGGUAAGUUCGAGGUGAAAUCUCCCGGCUCAACUGGGAGGGUGCCUCGAAAACUAUCAGGCUUGAGGCAGGGAGAGGGAUGUGGAAUUCCCGGUGUAGUGGUGGAAUGCGUAGAUAUCGGGAGGAACACCGGUGGCGAAAGCGGCAUUCUGGCCCUCACCUGACGCUGAGGUGCGAAAGCGUGGGUAGCAAACA
rnacentral:rRNA from 1 species